UACGAAGGGGCUAGCGUUGCUCGGAAUUACUGGGCGUAAAGGGUGCGUAGGCGGGUCUUUAAGUCAGGGGUGAAAUCCUGGAGCUCAACUCCAGAACUGCCUUUGAUACUGAAGAUCUUGAGUUCGGGAGAGGUGAGUGGAACUGCGAGUGUAGAGGUGAAAUUCGUAGAUAUUCGCAAGAACACCAGUGGCGAAGGCGGCUCACUGGCCCGAUACUGACGCUGAGGCACGAAAGCGUGGGGAGCAAACAGGG
rnacentral:rRNA from 1 species